UGCAGUCGACGACCCUUCGGGGUUAGUGGCAGACGGGUGAGUAACACGUGGGAACGUGCCUUUUGGUUCGGAACAACUCAGGGAAACUUGAGCUAAUACCGGAUGUGCCCUUCGGGGGAAAGAUUUAUCGCCAUUAGAGCGGCCCGCGUCUGAUUAGCUAGUUGGUGAGGUAAAGGCUCACCAAGGCUUCGAUCAGUAGCUGGUCUGAGAGGAUGAUCAGCCACACUGGGACUGAGACACGGCCCAGACUCCUACGGGAGGCAGCAGUGGGGAAUCUUGCGCAAUGGGCGAAAGCCUGACGCAGCCAUGCCGCGUGAAUGAUGAAGGUCUUAGGAUUGUAAAAUUCUUUCACCGGGGACGAUAAUGACGGUACCCGGAGAAGAAGCCCCGGCUAACUUCGUGCCAGCAGCCGCGGUAAUACGAAGGGGGCUAGCGUUGCUCGGAAUUACUGGGCGUAAAGGGCGCGUAGGCGGACAGUUAAGUCAGAGGUGAAAGCCCAGGGCUCAACCCUGGAAUAGCCUUUGAUACUGGCUGUCUUGAGUGCGGGAGAGGUGUGUGGAACUCCGAGUGUAGAGGUGAAAUUCGUAGAUAUUCGGAAGAACACCAGUGGCGAAGGCGACACACUGGCCCGUAACUGACGCUGAAGGCGCGAAAGCGUGGGGGAAGCAAACAGGAUAAGAUACCCUGGUUAGUCCACGCCGUAAACGAUGAUGGCUAGUUGUCGGCAUGCAUGCAUUGUCGGUGACGCAGCUAACGCAUUAAGCCACUCCGCCUGGGGAGUACGGUCGCAAGAUUAAAACUCAAAGGAUUGACGGGGGCCCG
rnacentral:rRNA from 1 species